GGGCAUUCGGACUGCUUGCUAUCUGGGCUACACGCAGAGAACUCAGUUUCUCCUCCUCGCCCAGGGGAAAGUCCCCGGACACGAGGCAGAAAGUGCCGUGGGUAGACCCACCGCCGGCUCGCGCUCUACCACCCGUAAGCGGAGACGUUCAUGCGAACCGAGCUUGGUAGUUGCUCGCCGGCUUUGUCAGCGCUGAGAGGAAUGCAGGCGAGCCGCAGCAGCGCUCCACAGAACGGGGCUCAUUCUCGGAAUGCA
ensembl:misc_RNA RNase_MRP RNase MRP